CGGCCUUCGCCAGAAGCCCCGCCUGUUCCUUGUAGCACUCCUCUAGACGGAUCAUGUACUGGGCGAGCUAAGAGAUAGGAAAAGUGAGGGCGUCAGGCGGAGAACAACAGAGCUAAUAAAUGGUGAAAAGCGGCCAGAAGAACACUCACCGACAUGAGACAGACGCAGCUGGCAGCCCCGACGUCAGAGACCCCCAACUCCCGGACCCGCCGACGGUCCUUCUCCAGCAGCACUGUUUCGAUGAGGUUUUGGGCGCUAUCGGUAGUGAAGGCCGACCCCGAUUUCUUCCCGGAGCCGGAUGGUGGUUCUGCAGCCUUACCCUUAUCCAUCGCCUGGGGAAGAGUCCUGCUGAUUGUGCUCGGGGCGGGGGUCACUCCAGGAAUCGAUAGGGCCCCGCUCGGCCGGGGCCUCGGCGCGUCCCUCCUCGAAUCAUCAGGAGCCGGCUGAGUCGAAGGCCGGGCCGGGGACCGAUCACGUCCGACCCGUCCGUCUCGAGCUGGCUCGGAUGAUACCUCCGGAAUAGCGGCA
rnacentral:lncRNA from 1 species